UGAUGCCCAGAAGGUUGGGGACCUCUGCUCUAGCUUAGCAGGUAGUAAAAAAAGACGGCAGGAGAUUUGUACUUUCAGACUUGUAAGAUUCUGUUAAUGUAGCCGUAGAAUAAAUUAGAAUCAGCUCAUUUGACUGUGUUCCCUGCCUGAUCUAUAUGGGAAGCUGUCCACAGACGUACCUGGGGAAUCUCUCCACCUAUAUACACUUCUACCUCUGCAAGGGGUUUCUAAUUGCUGUUCACCUUGCCAAAUGUAAGCACAUAUGCAUGAUCCACACUCUGUCUGUGAACGCUCUUGUUCCAUAAAUUCCUAUGGAUCGUUUGGACUAUCCCGAGGUAGGCAACCUUGGCUCUUUUACGAUUCGUGAACUUCAACUCCAUGGCUGGCUCAGGAAUUCUGGGAGUUGAAGUCCACGAGUCAUAAAAGAGCCAAGGUUGCCUACCCCUGGACUAUCCCAUCGUCUUUGGAAAUCAAAAGGAUGAUAAUAAGUCUUCUCCGACACAUCAAGAAGACACCAUAUUUAGGAAGCCUGCCUAUUGAUGUCUGUCAACUUAAUUUUGGGCAGUAUCCUAUGGUAGUGCUGACAAAAUCUAGAAGAAAUAAUUCAGCUUGGAAAAUCAGUUCAGUUCUUUAUAAUCAAAUUAAGUCAUUCAGUUCACAUUUCAGAAUCAGUUAAAAAGGUAUACGCAACAGCAUCUCAGUGCAUUUGAGGCAACAAUUUGGACUGACUUUCAGAUUCAGUUCAAAAUUCAUAGUGAUCAAGUCAGCUUUGAAUUAAAUCUCCAAAGUAAAUACUUGCAAAACUCUAAUGAGCAUUUAAGAAUAAAUUUGCAAGACUGUUAAUACUUCAUCCGGUUGUUUGUGAAAGUUAUUGCAGAACUUCAGACAUUAGCAUAAGACAAGGGGGAAACUGUUCAACAUCUAUGGAAUGAUCCAAGCCACUGUUUUUAAGUAAUGUAAUUUAAUUAUAAUAAACAUUUAAAUUAAAUCGCAUUUUUUAUUUGGUCCUACCUUCCUUUUGGAAUGCAGUCUCAAAUGUAAAGUGUCACCUUUGCCUUGAAAAGAACUGAAAACCAAUGUUGUAGAUCAGGGGACUGAUGUAGAAGCCCGAACCGAUUGGCAGAAGUGAAUUCUGCUCAAUGUUAGUUUUAUUGCUUUAUAAAAAGCAGUAAAUUCUAUGGUUCUGGUUACUGUGAGGUGCAAAGGCAUGCACAGAUGCACAUAUGUAAACUGAAAAUAAUCAGGAGUUGCCUUCAGAAUAAAAGCAAUACAGUUUUAUUGCGUGCCUGGGGUAUACUUACUUACAUUUGAUUUCUAGUUUUCAAUUGACCUCAAGAAGGCCAGUGUCAGGCACAGGAAAUCAGGAUCCAGGCAGUUCAAAUGAAUAUACAGGUGUAUUGUACGCUAAAGCUCUCUACAAGAAUCUGAACUACUAACAAUCAGAGCAAAUUGGCAGUAGAUGAGAAUUCAAGGUGGAUGGCACUUAGAUCUCUUGUGGGCCCGAAAGGACUUGAGACUGAUGACGCGUUUGAACCCUCCUACAUCAGGGUCUGCUUGAUCAUAUCCUACAUUUGGACAAGGAUACUCAAAGGGCUGGAUGUGGCCCUAGAGCCGUAAAAUGUCCAGAUUUGCUCUUUAUCAUUGGUUAUGUUCAAAUGGAGGAUUUGAUAGCCAGAUAGGUUUCGGGGAUAUUUUGAUUUAAGUUCACACAUUGAGCAAGGGUUGCCUUGAUGGUGUAAAUGGUCUUUUCAGACCCUAUGAUUUUAUGGAUCCCACUUUGCCUAUUCUUCCUGCAUCUGUGCUUCCUAAUUGCCAUCACACUAACUGGAAAAAUUACAUUGAAGCAGAACAGAACAAAGUUUAUUACAGUGAGUGAUCAGGGCAAGAAAGUUGAAGGAGAGAGAAAUCACCAAAAUAUUGAUGUACAUACGAAUGAAUGGAUCGAUCGAUAGAUUUAAGAUAGUACAAAACUAUAGACAUAAAAUCUUAUAAAACCUAUUGAGCUGAUCUAGUUAAUCAGAUGUAUAAAACUUGUUCUCUAUAAAACCUGCCUAGUUUAUUUUCUCUUUUACCAUUUUUAGUUGAGCGCACAUAGAAGUAAGUCAGGAAAAAAAAUGAAAUGAAAGAAGUAAAUUUAUAACAUGCAAUAUUUGAAAGCAUGGGAAUAUCUUGAUCUGAAACAUAAGAGCAGCCUUUUCCAGCUUGGUUCCUUCCUUUAUAUUUUGAACUUUAAUUUCCUAACCAACAUCACCAUCUUCAGGGAAUGAGAGAACUGUAAUCCCAAAUUAAUAAAUCUGAAAAAAUAAUUGGCAAAUUUCUAUCCAGAUCUUCCGGAAAAGACUAUUGUUUGAAAAGACUUUAGUGGGGCCCAGGCAUUGAUGCGAGAACUUUUACAGUUCUUGGAAGUAGCCCAAAGUAACCAAACAAAUGAAUAUUUCCAUUCAGAAAUGUGUAAGACCUUACUUGUGGGAUUGUUGCUUCAACCCAGGAAAGGAAAGGGAGUUGUUGUAUCUUGCAGAGCAGGCAAGUUAAGAGGUUAGUGGAGUUCUGCUGUGUUGUGUAAAGAUAAACCAUGCCUUGCCCAGCCUGGCAUCUUUCAGAUGAUGUGAGCCUCUAAAGUUCUCCAAAGCCCACUUUGGCAUGGCCUCAAACUAAAAAAAUUACUCUUCCUAUACAUCUAGAGAGUACCAGGUUGGGGAGAACCACACUGCAACGAGUGACACAUAAAAGCUCCUUGCACCUGGUCAAGAGAACGUUUGAGUUUGUGCUUUUGUUUUGUUUUUUGUAUAGUCAGGGCCGGUUCAGACAGUGCUACCUGAGCUGCAAUCAUUGGUAGGAGAGAAAAAUCUCUUCCUUCGGCUAGCCUAGUUUCUCUAUCCCCGUAAAACAUACAGUGUUUUCAGGAAACACUUGUUUCAGGAAACACUUGGAGUUCUGCAGGCGGCUCUAAAAAAAAAAGUCCUGCUGUGGUCUUGCAAGUUUUCAGCACUUGUCACACUACUUGCAACUCUUCCACAAUGCAUUGUGGAACUUGCUACACUGAGUACAUUCUGGCCAUAAAGAAUAAGACAGUGAGCUUGUCAGCUGGAAAGCUGACAAUCCAGGUUCGAGACCCGAGCACUGCAUGACAGAGUGAGCUCCCGUUCCUUGCUCCAGCUUCUGCCCACCUAGCAGAUCGAAAGCAUGCAAAUGCAAGUAGAUAAAUAGGUACCACUUCAGUGGGAAGGUAACAUUAUGUGCCUUGGUGUAUAGUCAUGCUGGCCACAUGACCAUGACAUGGAAAUGUCUCUGGACAAUGCUGGCUCCCUCGGCUAAGAAGCAGAGAUGAGCCCCGCCCCCUAGAAUCAGAAAUGACUGGUCUGAGGAAAAAUUUACUUUUACAUAGAGAAUAGUGUCAAAAUGCUACUCCUGGCUGAAAUCUGGAAGGGGACUGAGCCUUGUCUGGUACCAUUUUUGACAUGUUCUGGUUCUGCUUUUUUUGAUUGAAGCAAAACCUGAUAGCAGCCCUAUUCAAAAAAAAAAACAACCAAAACCCAACAACCCACAUCUUUGGGUAUUAACUUUUGUCUUAAAUCCACAGUUAGUUUUUCAAAUCUGCUAAUUAAAGUCAUUGCACAAUGCAGAGACCCUAAAACAAGAUGGAUCGACCACAUCAAGUAUUGCGGGCCCACUUGGCAAAAGAAAGAUCAGGACCGUAUAUAGGCUGGAAACAUGCAGAAGAGGCCUUCAUCCUGCAGUGGAUAGACAAUGGCUAAAAUGAUGAUGGUGACACAGUGCAUCAUAAAAAUAAUGAAGUCUCCCCAAAGCCCAGCCAUUAGAUUGCACAGAGAUCUUGUGUUUCACUAACCCGUUGCAUACAAAUGUGAUUUGCAUUUCAGAAAGACUUCAAUUCUUUCUCGACUGCUGACAUUAACCUUAUGUAUUUUUAACAUGUUUCUAGUGCUUAUGUUUAAAAACAGGCAAACCAUAUUUCAUCAGAAUAACUAGGGCCUUUAUUAAAUACACUUGAAUUUCCAGUGUCUGUUAUUACCUGGCACUCCUUCUGUUCCUUUAUUGGCAGCUUAAUAGCUGAUUAGUAGAAUACACGUAUAUUUCUGGAACGUUGGCUACUAAAUGUUUGCAGAAUAGGUCACAGAUCAGAUAAUCCAUACAGUAUAGAAAAUGCUAUGCCAUUUCUUAUUAUGCCUGGGAAUAGGUCAGCCUUGAAAGCGUGGAGACCACAUACUCAUAUUGGCCAGGGAGCUCAACCUUUGGCCUCCAAGCUCCCUUGAGUCUCCUGUAGUUGACCAACCAAAUAUUGGGUUGUCCAUCAUUUUGACCUAAAAGGCAUCUGAAAAUUGGUGUGUUGGCCCAGCAUGGUCAUAGCAGAAGAUCCUGGAUCCAACCACAUGAAGGAGAUUGUCCAUUAAUUUGGCAUCAUCACCCCCACGGUAACCCUUGGCCUCCUGAAGAACCAGCUUCUUCAACUCUCAGAUAUUUUCCUAACUUUAGGGUUGUCAGCACCAAGUGAGAAGGUUUAAGGAGAUGGUUUGAAAUGGGGGAACUAAAGUCAGAAGUCCCUUGUCCCUUCUUAGCUGAUUUCCCACUUCCCAGAUGGAAAGAUAGGGACGGAUUCUGUGCUAUUUGAUUCUAGUGGCCCAAUUGACUACUUUUUCAUUCUGUUCUGUUCAGGUUGUUAUACCGUGCCCCUCACCGUGGUAUCUGAGCGUACUUGGGCCCAGAUUUGUUUGAACCGGCCCUGAACAUGUCUCUGAUAUGGAUGAAGGACAGACCUGCAACAGAGCUUACCACUGGGACACUUCUGACUGGAUGCCAAAUGCACGUUUAUCUGACAUUGAGGAGGUGCCCCAUUAUGAGACGGCCGAUGGCAGCUCAGCUCAUCACGGGAGCACACGGGAGCUCGAAACAGAUUACUACCUUGGUGGUUAUGAUAUUGAUAGUGACUACCCUCCACCGCAUGAGGAGGAGUUUUUAAACCAAGACCAAUUGCCCCCUCCCCUCCCAGAGGAUUACCCAGACCAUUAUGAAGCCCUGCCACCAUCCCAGCCAGUCUCCAUGGCCAGCACGCUGAGCCCAGAUUGCCAGAGACGGCCACAGUUUCACCCAAGUCAAUACCUCCCUCCUCACCCCUUCCCCAAUGAGAUGGACCAUGGUGGGUCUCAGACUGGGAACGAAUUUAGUACUUUUGGUGUUGGCCCGGGACCAAAUACAGGCAACAGUCUGGCCAAGAAACCUUUGUCUUUACACAAUUCUCUGGACGCCUCCUCGUCCGAUGUUUCGAUGGGCUGUGGUUUUGAUGACUCUGAGAUUGCCAUGAGCGACUACGAAAGCAUUGAGGACUUUUCUCUGGACCACCAUCAGAUUCACAUUCCUUUUGUGGAGAUCCAUCAGCAGACCCAAGUGUGAAGGAGCUCUUUUCGUGGACUCCGUUGCUGUCGUUUGUUCAUUCAUAGCAUAACUGAACUCUUCUCUUUUGCUUCAUAAGUGUUCGACACGUCUGGUGCAGGGUUGAAAUCCAACCCAACCCAUUCUCAGCCUACCCAGAAGAUCGAUGUUGUGCAUGCACAUUACAGGGUGAAAACUGUAGCUUGUCUCAGAAAAUCAGUACCCAAGGUCAUCCAUCAGUCUUUGGAGUGGGCAUCUACUGCUUAUUGCCAAAAGUAAAUCCUAUUUUAAAUCCCAGACCAGUUAAUCAGUAAAGGAAAGGAUAGUUGGUAAUUUUCCUCCCUAAAAAAACCCUUUCUAAAUCAGUUCAUUCAGAAUUGCUGGUCUAUUAGAUGUAGUAUUUCCACGUUGCCCCAUAUGUUCUCUUGACUACGUUAAUGCACUCGUAAACACAGUAUAAGCCAAUCUUCCUCAGCUUGAUACUUUUCCUAGAGCAGUGGUGGUGAACCUAUGGCACACGUGCCAGAAGUGGCACGCAGAGCCCUCUCUGUGGGCACGCACACCGUCGUCCCAGCCCUGCCUCCCCCCCUCACCAGCAACCCCCCCCAGGGGAGAGUCCCCCCUGGGCGUGGCCCGUGUGGAGCAGCGCAGACAAGGACAUGGUAGCAGAGACAAGACUCCACCCUCGCAUGCAGAUGAUGCUGCGGGACGCGGGUGGAGGGCAUGGCCACCAUGGCGCUGCAGGGCUGCCUGGUCGAUCGGUGGGCCGUGGAGGCAGUAGAUGGCCCUGCAGGCGGGCAGGGCAGUUUUUGGGCACUCAGUAUCUAAAAGAUUCACCAUCACUGUCCUAAAGUAUUAAGCUGCUGUUCCCAUAAUUGCUAAUUGGCAUGUUUCUUGGCCAUUCAGUCUACGAAUAACGGGAGAUGUGAUCCAAGGCACCAAGAGGGCAUCCAAUCAGGAGUGGUUCCAACUCAUGCCUACAGUUCUAACUCUGAAAGAUACCAAGAAUUAAGAGUUGUUUGGCCAUCGUGAUGAACCAAAUGGUAAGGAUUGAGGUGUCUCCUCAGUCUAAAACUUAUGCCACUGAGCCGUUAAUCUUUGCUCUCAUUUAAACAAUGGGGUUUUUAUGUGAAACUUAACACCAAGCUGACCUUGAUUCAAGGCUGAUGCUGCAGCCUUGAGUGGGUCAGGAGUAAAAAAAAAAUGGAAUGGCCCUGGUGGUGGGUGGGUUGUUUGUUUAUUUAUUUAUUUGCUGGGUUCCCUGUCAUCUUCUAAGCUUUGGUUCUUAGGAUACAUCUGCAAUUUUUUUUCACUCGUCUUUAAAUACCAUUUAAAUACCAUUUAUCCUAUAUUUGGUAACGGCUAGUGGAGUAAAAUCCGCAGGGACUCAAUUUAUCUUUACCUUUAAAUACUGUUUAAAGAGAGUGCUAUUGUAGGUUAUGACACCGUCGCCAUCAUGUAUUUCACGGGUGGAAAAAAAAAAAGAAACCCCGACCAGAUUAUCCUUUUUGCACGAUUGAAUACUUUUGAAUACACAUUCCUCGUGUAACUGGAAUUCAAGCUUCCAUCUUGUGUGGAUGCAAAACACAAAAGAAGAUGACAGGAGAAUUCAGCCGAGCAGCCACUGAAAGGAACAAAUAAAUUAUUCCUGGUGGAAGGGAAUUACGGUUUUUAUGGAUGUCCCUGCAGGUCUUUGGUGGGAUUGUCUGCGAGGGGAAGUGGGUCAGAAAAAGUAAAGAUGGUGACUGCAACCAUGUAACUUAAGGCUCAUUCAUUUUUCAUGUGUGUUACACAUCUGACACACAAAGAUGUAGCUUUGAUCACAUCCUAGCAGGUUGCCUUCUUGGCUUUUGCAAACCACACACCCCCUUUGCAAACAUCCGUUUCUCCUAACCCAGGGGUCAGCAACCUUGGCUCUUUUAUGACUCGUGGACUUCAACUAUGCUGGCUCAGGAAUUCUGGGAGUUGAAGUCCACGAGUCAUAAAAGAGCCAAGGUUGCCUACCCCUGUCCUAACCCUAUUUUGUUUUAUGAUCAGCACAAUGUUGAAUGAGUGCUUCCACCCAAACUGAGACAGAUUUUCUAAAAAUUCUUUACACCGAGUGACAAAUUUUGUUUUUUACCCAGCUUGAUAAAUCAAAUAUGUCUGGUGUCCUCACACUAAUCAGCACUUAUUUCAGCCUCAGAGAACACCAGUUAAUAAAUCAUAUCAAGCCAAGUGGUUCGUUAAAGUGCCAUGGAAUAAGCAGCUUUAUUUACAAAGGUUAUCUGUCUAUUACCUUGGAAAUUGAAUGAUCUGUUGAUUACUACGACUCCCGUUUCAGGCUACAAGAGUAUUGUAACUAAGGGUUAUAUCGUAAGAAAUGGUCUAGUUCUAAAAACCUGUUUUAAAAAAAAAUUUUUUUUUGAGCCGAGACAAUACACUGCCUGUAUGAAUAUUCUGAAUAGUACAAAUUUAAUGUGUGCUUCCUUUUCAGUGAUUUUAUUCCCUUGGGCUUCACCCCCAAAUAUGGUAGGCAUUCUUUUAUAGUGCAUUUAUAAAAUGAUGGUUUUUGUUAGCCCUUCUUAGCUUUUUUAUGAACCCGCUUUUGAAAUAUUUUGGGAUAAAGGAAACAUGGUACUUGAACCUUGUGUAUGGUGAGAAUGCUAACGUAUGGAAUUGAGUAAGAAGCUUACUCAACAGAGAAACUAGCUGAUGACGUGGGUUGACCUUUCCAUGACUACGAAUGAGUGUAUGUGUGUGUGUGCAUCUGUGCGCGCACACACACACACACACGUAGACACACAGAAGAGUUGACAUACUCAACAUCUCCAACUGAUCAUGCUCACAGCAUUGAGGUUGCUUUGAAUGGAUACCAAAGUUACACAUUUGAAUUCUGAACUAUUGUUCAGUUGCACUUAUUUGUCCCCACAAGUCACACACACACACACACACACACACACACACACAAAGUUAUUAUGAAGUAAUUCUUCCUGACUUUUAAAAGGAAUUUUCAAAUAAUGCUUCUUUUGGAUAUUAACUACUAUACCUGAACUUAGCAAGAUACCUUUUUCCCCUUACUUUCUAGUAGUCUUCCGUAAAAAAUAAUAAUAUGAAACCUUUUGGUAGUUCAGAGUAAGGGGCAUUUUCCAUUCUCCUGGGUAACUUGCAUGUGUGUUCUAGAAACCCCUAAAUGUUAGGCUUUUCUUGUCCUGCCAAAUCCUAUGCAGUCAUCACUUUCUUCUUAUUCCUUAUCCCGCCUCUUUUAGCAGCUGGCUGCUCACUGCCCCAUUGAAUCAACGAAGUUGCCCCACUUAUUCUAGAGCAUAAUCUUCAUUGCUAAUCUCAGAAUUAAUUGCCCAUUUAUACAUUCCACUGUAUUUACUUUCAGAUUGUCUUGUAAUCUGCUAUUAAAUUUUAGCUUCACAUGGGUAAAAGCAUCCUAGACAAGUUAGCUAAAUGCAUUGGCCAAACUCCAGAUGUUUGUAAGCUUCCACAGUUCAGCACAAUUGGUAGACACGCACACUUUCUAUGCCAGGGUGGAUUCCCCCCCCCCUUACUUUCUUUUACCAUGAAUCGCCCUGAUUUUUCCGUCUUUAUCCAAAUAGCAACUCAUCUGUCAAUUGGUGUUGAUGACACAGGGUAAAAGAUUAGUAGUAAGUAAGCCGUACGUGAUUAAAUGGGAUUGAAGGCAAUGGAGCUUCAGACAGUCUUGACUCAGCCAGUCUACCCCAUAGAUAAUUACAACACAUUCAAGUGAUUCAAAGUGGGGAAAUUUGUAUUUCUGAUUGCUCCUAUAUACAAACCCGUUCAGCAUAUCAUAAAGUGGGACGGUUUGAAAAGAGCUGUAUGGCCAAUUUUUUCCCAAUAGGAUGCUUUUUGGUGAGUAAAUAUUUGAUUUAAGGUGGAAGAGGUUUCCGAAAAUACCUCCUUCCCACCAGCAAUCAGAAAUGGGACAUUUCAGAACUAUCUGAAUAAUAUGUAGCCGUUGGUGAGUUAAGCAGAUAAGGGGGAAUCAGGAAAUUCAAGAUGGCCACUUCAGUCUCGUAGAUGCAUCCACCAUCUUGAAUUUUCUUGACGCCCCUAUUGUCUACCGGCCCCCUUGUAGCCAUAGACAGCUGCAUUGCUUUGGUACGACUCAGGUUUUGUUCUAUGCAAAAGGGCCUUUAUUCCUCCUAUUACCCAAGAUGGCAGUCUGAACUUCACAGAAAUAAGUGUUUUCCUAAAAAUAAUAAUAAUUCCAAAUUAUAAAGCUACAUCUCAAGCCAAAAGGUCCACACUCAGCAUUUUCUCUUUGUUUCCCCUAUUUACAAGAUGGUAAGAAUGUCUAUAUGCUAUCAUGUGAGCCAUAUCACACUUGAAGUAGUACUGCUCAGAGGCAGUAUUUAUUAGUUAUGUAAAUACUUGGUGCCCAGGUAGGGCCAGUCAUCCCAACUGCACACAAAACGAAGAAAACUGAGACUUCCACAUGCCAAUGUUGAUAGCAAAACGAUUUAAUAUUAAUUUACUGCUUUUAUUAGAGGGUCUUUCACAAACUAAAGGUAAAUAAUUUCAAUAUUGUCACAGAGAAACAGAAAUCUUUCCAAAAUUUUGAUGGGCCAUUUUAGCUGAACUGCAUCUUCCAAAUUCAUUCCAUAUAAUUGGGAGUGGAGAAAGAUUUGUUCAUGAUUAUGCAAAAAAAUGGAUUUUGGCCGUCUUCUUUCUUUGCUUAUUACAUCCCUCCAGUAGUAAAAUCCAUAGUAAGUUUUUCCAUGAAAGAUCAUUAUUUCAAGGCUAUGCAUCAUAUAGAAGAGCACUGAACUUUUUUUUUCAUUUAGAGAGAAAAGGAGAGGCAGUGGGAUGUAACUUCGUUUCAUCUUUUUUUUUUUAAAGAGCAAUAAUUUACAAAUGUAUUACAGGCCAUAACCAAACUUCACUACUGGCAGUGUUAAGAGAAUAAAUGAACUGGAUUGUGGGAAUUCAAGGCCUCACUUAACAUAGCUUAAGCAUAUGUUUGAAUUCUUACCAGAACAAUUUUUCAAACCCAGGAUAACUGCUUUUUCAGGAAGUUUAUUUGGGAAAAAAAAAUCUUAAGUUCUCCUUGAAGCACUGUAUAAGAAAGAUAAUUGUGUGUAAAUUUUACCUGUUGCAAGCAGGCUGGUUUGUAAAAGAUGUAUGUUUUUGGUGUUAAAAAGUUUAUAAAAUAAUGUAUAUAAUAAUUUUGAAAUUACUGGGCUUUUGUAGAUAUUCAAUGCCAAUCAGGUGGCUUUUCAUUUUUGUUACCUGUGUUCAUUUGUGUAAAGUCAUCCGUUACAGGUUAAUCAUAUAAAGUACUUCUUACAAAACAAAUCAAAAAUUCUUCUUAGUUGCUAAAGGAGACUUCAGUUUUCAUUUGGAUCAAUUGUUUUCCGUUCACUUCUGUUUCUAUGAAACUGCUUCCUGGUUGUUUUUUUAUGGGUUUUUUUGUUUUGUUUUGUUUGUUUGUCUGUGCAAAUGCAAUCAUGUUUUCUAAUGACAUUUCUGUUGGCAUUAAAAAGGUUUCUCCAUUAUUUCACCCUGUAACAAACGUAUGCAAAAGGGAAGAUGAUCUCCGGAAAUGGAUCUUGUCCCUUGUUGCCUAACUCAUCAGUUGUUCAUUUUCCUGUUGGCAGUAUUGUCUUGUUAUUUUGCUAUUAAAAAAGAAACAAAAAAGAAACAAAAAA